AUUGAACGCUGGCGGCAUGCUUUACACAUGCAAGUCGAACGGUAACAGGUUAAGCUGACGAGUGGCGAACGGGUGAGUAAUGCAUCGGAACGUGCCCGAUCGUGGGGGAUAACGCAGCGAAAGCUGCGCUAAUACCGCAUACGAUCUGAGGAUGAAAGCGGGGGACCGUAAGGCCUCGCGCGAUCGGAGCGGCCGAUGUCAGAUUAGGUAGUUGGUGGGGUAAAGGCCCACCAAGCCGACGAUCUGUAGCUGGUCUGAGAGGACGACCAGCCACACUGGGACUGAGACACGGCCCAGACUCCUACGGGAGGCAGCAGUGGGGAAUUUUGGACAAUGGGCGAAAGCCUGGUCCAGCAAUGCCGCGUGCAGGAAGAAGGCCUUCGGGUUGUAAACUGCUUUUGUACGGAGCGAAAAAGUCCUUUCUAAUACAAGGGGCUCAUGACGGUACCGUAAGAAUAAGCACCGGCUAACUACGUGCCAGCAGCCGCGGUAA
rnacentral:rRNA from 1 species